AGUCAACAUGCCCAGGGGACGUGGAUAACCUCGGGAAACUGAGGAUAAACCGCGAUAGGUCAUCACUUCUGGAAUGGGUAAUGACUUAAAUCUAUAUGGCCCCUGGAUUGGACUGCGGCCGAUCAGGCUGUUGGUGAGGUAAUGGCCCACCAAACCUGUAACCGGUACGGGCUCUGAGAGGAGGAGCCCGGAGAUGGGCACUGAGACAAGGGCCCAGGCCCUAUGGGGCGCAGCAGGCGCGAAACCUCUGCAAUAGGCGAAAGCUUGACAGGGUUACUCUGAGUGAUUUCCGUUAAGGAGAUCUUUUGGCACCUCUAAAAAUGGUGCAGAAUAAGGGGUGGGCAAGUCUGGUGUCAGCCGCCGCGGUAAUACCAGCACCCCGAGUGGUCGGGACGUUUAUUGGGCCUAAAGCAUCCGUAGCCGGUUCUACAAGUCUUCCGUUAAAUCCACCUGCUUAACAGAUGGGCUGCGGAAGAUACUAUAGAGCUAGGAGGCGGGAGAGGCAAGCGGUACUCGAUGGGUAGGGGUAAAAUCCGUUGAUCCAUUGAAGACCACCAGUGGCGAAGGCGGCUUGCCAGAACGCGCUCGACGGUGAGGGAUGAAAGCUGGGGGAGCAAACCGGAUUAGAUACCCGGGUAGUCCCAGCUGUAAACGAUGCAGACUCGGUGAUGAGUUGGCUUAUUGCUAACUCAGUGCCGCAGGGAAGCCGUUAAGUUUGCCGCCUGGGGAGUACGGUCGCAAGGCUGAAACUUAA
rnacentral:rRNA from 1 species